GACGAACCGUGCGAACGUUGUUCGGAAUCACUGGGCUUAAAGGGCGCGUAGGCGGGCCACCAAGUCAGGGGUGAAAUCCCACGGCUCAACCGUGGAAGUGCCUCUGAUACUGGGGGCCUCGAGGGAGGUAGGGGCGUGCGGAACUUCCGGUGGAGCGGUGAAAUGCGUAGAUAUCGGGAGGAACACCGGUGGCGAAAGCGGCGCGCUGGACCUCUUCUGACGCUGAGGCGCGAAAGCCAGGGGAGCAAAUGGG
rnacentral:rRNA from 1 species